CACCAACGUUUCCUGUUAAGCGGACCGACAGAAUAUUCAUACGGAGCUUACCACAUCAAGGCACAGAGAUUCAUUUUUAUUGAAAAAGGAGAGUCCAAGCUGGGGUGGAUCGCUGUGUUUCAAGGACUUGCAAUAAAGGAGACAUGUCAGUAGAUCUGGGAGCGUUUGCUGGUAUUGCAGUAUCAGGUGUAUUAAUUUUUGGAUAUUUUCUUUUCAAAUUCUUAUUAACAUGUAAGUACUGCCAAGCUCAAAGGAGGAGUGAUCUACCGGAACCGGAUGUGACAUCACUUGACAAAAAUGAAAAAGUGGCAACCCCCCAUGUGUCUGUUGAUAUUGGAAAACCUAUGCAGAUUUUCACUUUGCUGCCUUCGUAUGAAGAAUGUGUAAAGCCACCUGGUUAUCUGUUGGACCUUGAAAAGCCACCAUCUUACCGAGAGUAUCUGUCUUGGACGGUAACAGAAGGUCAGGGAAACUACCCAACAGUCCUAGACUCAUGACACUAUCAUCGAAAUCUGUUGCAAAAGUUAUGAAAUCGCUUUUAGAAAUAUAUGAAGAUUUUGGAUGGGAAAGAACUACAAUGCGAAAAAGAAUUAAUGUAGCGAUAUGUGGUUUAAAUUAUGUUGAAA